AAAAAGCAGUGAAUCAUUUCAAUAGAUGGAAUGAUUCACUGCUUUUU
rnacentral:misc_RNA from 1 species